rnacentral:rRNA from 1 species
UACGUGGGGUGCAAGCGUUAAUCGGAAUUACUGGGCGUAAAGCGUGCGCAGGCGGCUUUGCAAGACAGAUGUGAAAUCCCCGGGCUUAACCUGGGAACUGCAUUUGUGACUGCAUGGCUGGAGUGCGGCAGAGGGGGAUGGAAUUCCGCGUGUAGCAGUGAAAUGCGUAGAUAUCGGGAGGAACACCUGUGGCGAAAGCGGCGCACUGGACCAUAACUGACGCUGAGGCGCUAAAGCUAGGGGAGCAAACAGG